rnacentral:miRNA from 1 species
GCUGCUGAACUGUACAUUAUAUAUAUAUGUGUGUGUGUGUGUGUGUGUGUAUAUAUAUAUAUAUACACACACACACACACAUAUAUAUAUGUACAUAUA